GUGGGGAAUCUUCCGCAAUGGACGAAAGUCUGACGGAGCAACGCCGCGUGAGUGAAGAAGGUUUUCGGAUCGUAAAGCUCUUUCGUUAGGGACGAACGUGCUCUUUGUGAAUAAUGAGGAGUAAUGACGGUACCUAAAUAAGAAGCCACUGCUAACUACGUGCCAGCAGCUGCUGUAAUACGUAGGUGGCAAGCGUUGUCCGGAAUUAUUGGGCGUAAAGCGCGCGCAGGCGGGAUAUCAAGUCUGUCUUAAAAGUGCGAGGCUCAACCUCGUGAGGGGACAGAAACUGGUAUUCUUGAGUGUCGGAGAGGAAAGUGGAAUUCCAAGUGUAGCGGUGAAAUGCGUAGAGAUUUGGAAGAACACCAGUGGCGAAGGCGACUUUCUGGACGAUGUCUGACGCUGAGGCGCGAAAGCUAGGGGAGCGAACGGGAUUAGAAACCCCUGUAGUCC
rnacentral:rRNA from 1 species